GCAGCAGCAGCAGUAACAGCUUAAAUCAUAUACCAUCAACAACAGAAUCAUGAGCAGCAGCAAAAGCAACAAACCAGAUACUCAAAUAUACAAGCCGCCAAUGGGAAGCUCAACAGCGCCAAGUACAACCAAACCAAAAUUGCCGUUUUCAUAGACAAAAACAAGAGGAGAAUGCAUCAAAAUGUCAAGAACAACCACAGAGUGUAUCGGCAAAACAACGACAAGAAUAGCCACGCGAACACUAAAACAAUCAGCAGCGUCACCAGUUAAAUGACCCACAACUAAAUUGUAAUUGACCAUGUCCCACCACUGCAGCAAAAACAAGACACUCCUGGAGUAUGUAACUUGUCGUCAACGCCUGUGUUUUCAAGCUAAUGCCCAGAUUGCGGUGGUAUGAUCAGCAUACGUAGAGAGCAUCAUGCGGUUUUCGUUGAACUGACUGUAUUCGUUGAGGUCAACGGCAUGUCAGAUGAGAAGAUUUUGUACAGGAUUGGCCCCAGUCUACUGCUUUAGAAUACUCCAGCUGUAAUUGGACACCGUCGCUGCACUUUACUACAAAGCUACGCUCAUGCAGAGCCACUGUGCCAAACUCGGUCAGUGCUGGCGCUCCUCGAAGGCUCUCAGAGUGAAUUGUGAGAUUCGAGAAAGUUACUGUUGCGUGCCAUGUUUACGCCUGAACCCAAACUGUUAAUUAGGCACGGCUUUGGCAAAUUCCUCAAGUUCAAAGAGCCGGGCCAGCAGAAGUUUUCCGACUGUAGAAAAAAAUCGCCAGGUCCCACCACUGCGGCAAAAACAAGACACUCCUGGAGUAUGCAAGCUGUACUCAACGCCUGCAACAGAAGUUCCAACAGCAGAAGAAACAACUUGAGCAACCAAGCCAAAAACAUCGACAGCAGGAAACAGUAAAUAACAGCACUAAAACCAAUACAAAUUGACUCCCUCCUGGCAGGAAGUGCUCUUGAAGCUGCUGUGUGUAGCGUGGCCUUUGAAGACGUUUUGGCUCGUAUGGCUGCAUAAGGAGGAAUUCUGCUUCCGGGUUUUUGUGUGACGACAGGGAGUUCACGAACCGGCUGCUGGCUGUUUAGUACACUUCCUCCACUGUUUUCAAGCUAAUGCCCAGAUUGCGGUGGUCGGGAUAUCUGCGGCACACAUUAUUACCGUGUCAUCAGCAUACGUAGAGAGCAUCAUGCGGCUUUCGUUGAAAUGACUAUUCAUUGAGGUCAGCGGCAUGUCGGAUGAGAAGAUUUUGUACAGGAUUGGCCCCAGUCUACUGCCUUAGAAUACUCCAGCUGUAAUUGGAUACCGUCGCUGCACUUUACUACAAAGCUACGCUCAUGCAGAGCCACUGUGCCAAACUCGGUCAAAGGCUUCAAUGUCGAUGAAGACGGCUGAGCAGUGUUGGCGCUCCUCGAAGGCUCUCAGAAUGAAUUGUGAGAUUCGAGAAAGUUACUGUUGCGUGCCAUGUUUACGCCUGAACCCAAACUGAUAAUUAGGCACGGCUUUGGCAAAUUCCUCAAGUUCAAAGAGCCGGGCCAGCAGAAGUUUUUCGACUGUAGAAAAAAAUCGUCAGGUCCCACCACUGCGGCAAAAACAAGACACUCCUGGAGUAUGCAAGCUGUACUCAACGCCUGUAACAGAAGUUCCAACAGCAGAAGAAACAACUUGAGCAACCAAGCCAAAAACAUCGACAGCAGGAAACAGUAAAUAAAUCGCAGCAAGGAAGGCUACAACAACACCAGCGACAAAACUGCCUUCAGUAGUGCUAACAAGGAAAGUCACUCCUGAAUUGUGAGAUUCGAGAAAGUUACUGUUGCGUACCAUGUUUACGCCUGAACCCAAACUGUUAAUUAGGCACGGCUUUGGCUAAUUCCUCAAGUUCAAAGAGCCGGGCCAGCAGAAGUUUUCCGACUGUAGAAAAAAAUCGCCAGGUAGGCCGGAAAUAUUUUCUUAUUGUUUUAACCCUAGGAACAUUUGAAAAUAGUGUUGACAUGUGUGUUCAUUGUUGUAUUUGGGUACAUAUCGAUAGUAAAAUUAAAGGGUCACAUUGCCGUACAAAA
rnacentral:sRNA from 1 species